rnacentral:rRNA from 1 species
UACGAAGGUGGCAAGCGUUGUUCGGAUUUACUGGGCGUACAGGGAGCGUAGGCGGUUGGAUAAGCCCUCCGUGAAAUCUCCAGGCUUAACCUGGAAAGUGCAGAGGGGACUGUUCAGCUAGAGGAUGGGAGAGGAGCGCGGAAUUCCCGGUGUAGCGGUGAAAUGCGUAGAUAUCUGGAGGAACACCGGUGGCGAAAGCGGCUACUCUGGACCGGCAUUGACGCUGAGGUGCGAAAGCGUGGGGAGCAAACAGG